rnacentral:rRNA from 1 species
GUAGGUGGCAAGCGUUGUCCGGAAUUAUUGGGGCGUAAAGCGCGCGCAGGCGGUUCGUUUAAGUCUGAUGUGAAAGCCCACGGGCUCAACCGUGGAGGGUCAUUGGAAACUGGAGAACUUGAGUACAGAAGAGGAAAGCGGAAUUCCACGUGUAGCGGUGAAAUGCGUAGAGAUGUGGAGGAACACCAGUGGCGAAGGCGGCUUUCUGGUCUGUAACUGACGCUGAGGCGCGAAAGCGUGGGGAGCAAACAGGAUUAGAUACCCUGGUAGUUCGCGCCGUAAACGAUGAGUGCUAAGUGUUAGGGGGUUUCCGCCCCUUAGUGCUGCAGCUAACGCAUUAAGCACUCCGCCUGGGGAGUACGGCCGCAAAGGCUG